GUUUACUGUGGCUGCACAUAUUUUAAAGUUGGAAUGAUGCAGAGAAGAUCAUCACAGUCCCUGAGAAAGAAUGACACGUAAUAGUGGGUCCAACAAUGGCUGAUU